AAGCUGUUCCCACUCCAAGGGCUGCUUCCUUGCCUCCUUACACCUGUGUGAGCACACCAGCUGCAAGACAUGAUCUAGUAAUGACCCAGUGUCUGCCUGACCCUGCUGCUGCAGCUGGCUUUUACUGAAGCUGCCUUUCCAGGGCACUGUUCUUUGUGCAAAAGUGGAGCAAAAGAAGAAAUCUGGAGGUCCCUGACAGUACCAGCACAGAAUUUCCUGCCAAGAUUCUACCGGAGCCAGGAUUUUGCAGCUUGUGUUUUCCCUGUGGAACCAGGGAGGAGUUCCCAGGCAUGGUCUGACUCCGUGCUGGAGCAGCAUCACGGCUGGGAAGUCAGAUUCCCCUGAAAUUGGGAUGCACAAUUGUUCCAGAAAAGGCCUGGUCUAAAGUUAAGGGAGGUUCUCAGCAUGGGGAGGAGAGAGAAGGGCUGGGGACAGGAUACCUGGAGCACUGUGCAGCUGGGAAAGACAAGGAAAGGGCAAUCCUGCACAUCCUGGCUCACACACACUCCCAGGUUUAGAACAUCAGAUGACUCUUAGCAGAUAUGAAAUGCUUCUGGAAGCCAAACAGUGGUUCUGUUCAUACCCUUUGGACCACCCUGCUUGUCCAUCGUGUCUGUACCACACUGCACUGCAGUGGUCUUGUCAUCCAGGAGAGCCUGACCCUGGACAACGGGAUCAACAAGCUCUGAAGAGCCUCCAUCCUCAAUUACCUUCCAGCCCUGACAUCCCCAGUCCAGCUGCCUCAGACUAGAGCUUUGGAAGCAUGAGGCAUUGCCAGACCCCACUGGGUUACAGCCUGGCCACCCCAGACCUACUGGAUAACUCCAGCUUCCCAAAAAUCCCAGCUGAAUGCAGGUCUAGGAAAGGCAGCAGACAGAGGCAAGAAGGAUUGUCCCCAGGAGCUGUUCCUGCCCUCCGUGGGUACUUCUGCACCAGCAAACUCCAGAGGGGCCCUGAGUCCAGAGACCUCAAGUGCAGUCAGCUCUUUGUAAGGAGGGACACAGUGUGCAAUCCCUGGCCUUGGGGGAUGCCCAUGGGCUCACCCCAGCCCUGACCACGGUGGGAGCACUUGGGGACUGCCCUCCACCCCGUGCCCUUCAGGACCCUCUGUUUGCAGCUCGGGCUCUGUGGCUGCAGGCGUUGGAGGACUGCGAUAUCUGCACGUAAAAAUGGAGUGAGGCUACCUGUGUAUUGUUGAGGAGAUCACUAUAAGGGCAUCCCAAUGGAAGAAUCUAACUAAAAGAAGGCAGAUGACAAACACUACCAGUUCCCCUCACUGACAUCAACACUGAAGUGCUUCACUGAAGGAAAAUGUUGAGAAGCUGGGACUGGACAUCUAAAAGUUCUUCAGUUUUCUCCCUGACUUGAUGGUUGGAGAAGUUCAGUGCCCAGUUCUGCAGUACUGCCUUGGAGCUGCCUCCUUUUGAGUUUUGUGCCUUGUUUCUCGGGGAGCCUAUCAACAGAGUGGAUUUAACUUGGGAGGCCUCAGCUCUCUGCUUGAAAAUCUGCAGGAAGUAUCUCUAACUUCAUUAAAGACACCAGUAGGUGCUCCUGUGCUGCUGCUGCUGCCAGUGAAAAAAGGUUCCCUUCCUCAAGGUGCCUUUAAUAUAUCACACUUGAUAAAUUGCUGACCCCCUCCAUAGUCCAUUAGCAUAGCAGAGCUCCCAGAUGAAUUGGGAUGAGCUUGCUGAGUCAGCUGACAGAAGAAGAGAGGAAUUGUGUCUGGCAGCAGCACGGAGUUACUUUGGCUUCAGGUGUUCCAGGCUGUGUAACGGGAUUGUUCUUCCCAAGCCGUUGGGUUGUUCUUGCAGGCUGCAGGCGGAAGGAAGCGUUGCUCUUUUCCAGUCAUCUAAAAGCAUCUGAAAAAGCAAAGGAAGGAUCGCAUCACCCCAAGCUGCAGCAGUGAGUGCAAACAUGAGAUUUGUCUGCCUGGCCAAAUGUUCUCCCAUCCAUGCAUGGCUCUGGCUGCCCUGUGUGCUGAAGAGCACAGCUACCUGUGGCUUGUUUGGACAUCAAAAAUGCCAAGUGCCUGCCACACAUGUUGCCAUCUGUCACUGCAGCUUGGAUUGAGGCAGCUUGGGCUGUAGGAGGCUGCCUCAGAACAGACAAGAAUGCUGCUGGAAUUUUAGGACAUUUCACAUCAGUGCAUCUAUCAGUGAGCCAGGAGGAGUGCUGAGGGUGCCUGGAAUACUCGUGUUGCUUGUGGGGAUGAGGACACAGAAGGAGCCGCCUCAUUCCCACAAGGAAGGUGAGUGCCUGCGGUGCUGUGCAGUAUUGCCCAAGAAAAGUCACAAUUGUUUUCAUGUUGCUAGGUGGAGAUCCUUGACUGUGUCUGGAGCCUGUGGCUUGGGAACAAAUGAUAUUUCUGCAGGGUCUGAUGGGGUAACAGCUCUCCUGCUGAGCCAAGCUCCUGGCUCCUGUUGAAUUCUGGAGCCAGUCCCUGUUCCCUUGGACUGAAGAGCGGUACAGCCCUGCCAGCAGUAUGUGAGGCCAUCAGCUCUCCCAUAUCCUGGUACAUACGGACACGUGAGUCUCUUCCCAGAGGAUGUUUAUCCAGUGCCAGCAGACAGGGAUUCACUCAGGCUCUCUUUGAUGUGCUUCUUGCCUCGGGGAGGGCAUCUCCUUCAGAAGGUGCUUCAUGUGGAGAGCAAACAGGCCUUUUUUGAGCAUGCUGUUGUUACACUGGCACUUGGUUCCUGUUGUGGUUGGCUUUUUAAUGAGUCCAAAGAAAAUCCAUUAAAAAAAUCAGUCUGGGUUUUUUUCUUGAGGCACAGGCAGUAUUGAUAACAAUGCUUUCCAAACAGCUUUUGUCAGUUUUUGUGGUCUUUGAAGGUGUCCAAGCAGUCACUGAGGGGUUAUACUUGGCUGGCUUCAGCUAUGCGACGCUCUAACUUGAAAUACUGUGAGGUUUGGUAAUUUUUACUGCAUAUGGCCAUAAAAUAGAGACUUUCCCAUGAAGCAGAUUAAGGAGGAUCUUUGAUACUUUCAUUCAAAGAACAGCUCUUCCAGAAGGUGAGCAUUAACAAGAUGGUCGUGUCACAUUUUCAUGACAAGCUUCUGACUGAGCAGAUCAUUAGAGAGAAGGGAUCAAAGCCACUUCCUCAUGUUGUAUUUCAGGUGGACAUGAGGGUGUCACUGGCAAAAAAACUCAAGUAGCAAACUUCACAGGAGGGGAAGCUCACUCUUCCCAGCUAUCUAUCCUUUGCAAUUUCCUUCCAGUGAGUCACAAACUUUGGGAGUUUCAAAGGAGUUGUGUUUUAAUCCAACUACUAGGGCUGAUACAGCUCUGAUGAGAGACUUGGACAUGAGCAGAGAUGGUGGCUCUUCUUCAUUGCUAGUGAGCAAGACCCAAAUACGACAAUAAUUAAAUAAUUAAGGGUUUGAUUCUUACUGGCUUUCCAGUAAUCUGCUUGGUCUGCAAUUGAUUUUUGUUUUUUCAUAAUUCACUUUGUGUAUUUUACUAAAGUAGAUUGGUAAUUUAUUUAAUUCUAAUUUAUUCACUGAAUUAAAAAUUCUAAAUUUCACCAAAUUAGAAAGCUGAUUUAACAUGUAAACCUCCUCUGCUCUGUGUCUACUGGUAGGACGUUCCCUGCUUUCUUCCCUGGAUACAGAAUUUGUAACCUGGAGCCCCAGGGCACAGGGAGGUCUUAGAUGCUGGUCUCAGGGUGUUCUGCAGGCAAGAAGGGCCCUUGCACUCCUUGAUGAAAUCUGCUGAACUUGUUGGAUUGCCAAUCCUCACAUUCAUCUCCAAGUGGGAGCCAGCUCCUUGUGCAGCUCAAAGAAAGCAAGAGCUGCACCCAAGUUAAAUGUUACACAAUAGGAUCCAAAGUGCUUCUCCAACUUUUUACAGACACUCCAGCACAUUUGAAGCGUUUGACAGAAAAGAAUAGGCAAGGGCAACAAUGAUUGAUCCAUGUUUUUAAGAAAAAAAUUGAAGCCAUAUUUCCACCAGGGGCUUCAGACAGACAUUGAUGUAUUUAUCGAGAAGGAGCCCACGAGCGCCAGCCUUUGCAUCACUAAAAAUGUAGCCUGCUGCAAGAAUUUACAGCUGUGAUGGAAGAUUCAUAGCUGCUCUCUUUAUUUAUUGGAAACAUCUCUUGCAGCUGAGUAAAGGCAUAAAUAUGAAAUUAAAUCACAAAAACUACUCUGAAGUAGUGCUAAGGAUACUUUUUAAACCUGCGGGUCCAGGACAACUUAAAACUAAUGUUGAAAGACAAUUGAGAUGAAGAGUAUUUACUGAUCCAUUAUUCCAUCCCUUUCCAGCAAACGUGUACAACCACAGAUUAUUGGAGACCAUUUGCUGUAUUCUCAUAUGUAAUGCUGAACAGGAGGACUCAAGGGCAGCACGUUAGAUAAAGCUCUUUCAGAAUGGUGAGGUUGUUGAGUGAUAUUCCACAUGGACCUGACUGCUUUGUGGCUCACCUUGGAGUUCUCAGCUCUCCACAGGAGAUCCAUCCCCUCUUCUCUGCUGAGACACUCAGUGACUGAUGGCUGCAGCACAGGAUGGUCCCCUCCUACCUUGGGAAACAUUGCAAAAGUUCAUUGUCAGUUCUGUGUUCAAGAGACCUGCAAGCUGUCAAUAACUUGUGAAAAGUGAUUGCUCAUUUCUGAGAUACCUGCCAGGAACAGGAGAUUUAGCAAGAGUUUCUAAGUUCCUCAGACAAUUAGAAAAUACCCCAAGCCCCUUCUGCAAUAGAUGCCUUCCUGAGGAUGAUGUGUCACCACUUGAAGACUGAUCUCACAAAGGAUAAAUCAAUUCUGAAGUGAGUCCUAGCGCUCCUUUUAACAAUUAGCAUUCCUGUUUGCCGUGGCUCUUCCUUUUCAGUAAGGUCUAAACACAUCAGGUCAUUCCUGCAUAUUCCCUGCAGUAUUUUAAUAUCUCAAGACAGACAAAGGGAUCUCCACAACUUCCUGAAUUGAUUCAGAACAAGGUAACAAUACACAUUUUAUCCUCAAAACAGCACACUAAAGGAAGGAUUUCCCAUUUCUGAGUGACCCUGGAGCAGGACUCGGUGCCUUGUUGCAUCCAUUUAACACCAGGUACCUGGAUGGACUCCAGGGCCACACGGUGGGGUUAUUUACCAUGUGUUGUACAGGUGCUGAGUCUAAACUAUCUGAUGAUCUUAAGCCCAGAAAAUCUCUUCCUCCACAUAAUCCUCGUGACCUUUCCCUCUGUCACUCAUUUGUCUGACUGGGACAAGGCUGGCAUGUGGCUGAUUUUAUGGAUGGCGCGCUGCAUGUCCUGGGAUCAGCCUUAAUGUGCUGUAAUUCUUUAUGCAGUCAUUAAAGCACGAUUAGAGACCUCAGUCUUGGGCUUGAUACGGUCACUGGAGGAGUUUUACAGAGGUUAUUACCGUGUUGCUCUGUCUCAAACUACUCAGCAAGAGCGAGGCAGCAAUUACAAGAAAGGGCUACUUAGCAUCCAGCCUGUACACAGGGAGGUGGGGAGAGAGGUUUCACAGACAUAACUCACCCAUCCACCAGAGCACAAUAAAACACCUUCUUUAUUUCUGAUUUUAUUGGUUCUGUCUGCUCUCAUCUGGUGCCUGAGCAUUUUAUCUGUUCAGGCUGCUUUUUUUCUAAUGCAGUAAAAAGAGCAGACAGGAUUUUGCCCUUUAUUUAAAAUGUUUUGCCACAUUUAGAGGUAAAUCACAGCCACUUUCCUGCGUGUAUAUUUUCAGACUUAGCAGAGAGAGAAAUGUUUUGACAGCAAGCGCGCUCUACAGGGUGCAACCAUGGUCAGAGAGGAAAAGUCUCUUCCUACCACCCGACUUUUCUUUGCUCUGAUAGAAACCUGCCCCUCUCUCCACAUCUCUGGGGAUCAAGCACCCACAUUCCUUCAUGCAUAGUGAAGGAAAAAAAAGAGAGGAAAGAUCUGGCUCCCAGUCCCUCCACAAACAGAGUUUGCUCUCUGAAUUCCUCAUGUAAAUGACUCAGAGAUCUGCACUUUCAAGCAGAUCUGUCUUUUCAGAAACAAGCUGACACUCUGGGCACCAAAACAGAUCACAGGAACUACAACAAAAAGCAGUGUUCUGCCAAAGCUGCAGGCAGGAGUCUGUCAGGGAGAAUGAUGGAGCCACAAGAGUGCUGUUCUAACAGGCAAAGGGGGAAGGAGGAAAGAGUGAAAAGUGUAAGAAACUGGAAGAGACUUCAAGGGACACGACGCUGUUUAAUGGGGCAGAAACUGAGAGACAAGUGAGCUACAGUGUGGGGUGAUUUGCAUUUUUCCAAGAUGAUUUGUGAAAGGUGAAAAGUUGCAGAUGAAAUGCUUUGAUUUGCCUUUAUCUCACUCUGCCUGUGCACUUGUGUCAUUCAUUUCAUGCAAUAACCCCUACUAAACAGUCAGAGAGGCUGCAGCAUAAUUUUGUUGACCUUAAAUUAAGGCAAAAAGCUGCAGUUCUGGAAUUUGAAGUUUGUAGUGUCUAAUUGGCUAAAGGGCAAAAGAAGGAAGUAAAGAUGAAUGACAACUUUUGAUAUCACAUGAAAAAUCAAGGCUCAUGCAUCAGGGGACUUGAAAACAAUUAGAUUCAUAUCAUUUCAGCCUAUGUCUCAAUCCUAAAAGGGCAUUAAAAUUACACUCUCUAAGUCUCGUUCAGUGGAGCUUAGAUGAGCCUCAGAUUUUAGGUGUUCCCAGGAUGGGAGUUACAGGAAUUGAUUUCUUUGCAAUGUGAAGUGCCUAAAAUAGGAAACAGCGGCAGUUUGGGGGCCUCUUGCUGCUUUCUUCCCUUUUUAUUCCUUUCUAUCCAACAUGGCAGAAAUGCCAUCCAAGUGAGUAGCAGGAAGGCAACCUACAUUGUUAGCAAGUGAGGGGGAAAAAUAAAGUUCAUCUUUCAGGCUUUGGAGGAGCUGAUAGCAGGAGAAAAACUGUGCCUGCAAUACAAAGCCAAAAGUUAUCAACUAUCCUGAGAGAUGUUUUCACAAAUCAACAAAGAACAUAAACUAGGGGGGGAAAAAAAAGGAAGCAUUGCUCUGGUCUUUGUCCCUAAGAUGAGAAACUGAAAAGCUGCGAGUAUAAAGCAGGUAUGAGCUGGUUGUCAGUGGAAUGUCAGCUUCCAGCAGAACAGGAAUAACUCAGGAGUGUCGAGAUGAGUCUCUGCUGCCUUGCACAGUGUUUUAAUCAAAGCCCAGAAGGAGCAGUUCCCAGGCAGCCACAAAGCACCACGUCAGGCCGUGCAGAAAGAGGAUUGCAGCACAACUGGGGCUUCACCAGAUCUGUCUGAGAUCUAGAACUGGUACUAGGUGAGGCUCAACUUGAAUAACUUUCUUAGUUCCUUCUUUUGUCCUUUCACCCCAAAUACAGCUUGCAUUUUGCUUCAGCAUGCUUCUGUAAAUCCUCAGAGGAUCCAUCUUGGAAGAUGUUGACAGAUGAGGUGCAGAUUCUCCUGUUCUAUAUUUAUUGACAAUAGUGGCAGUUCUUCCAUUUUUUAUUUUUUUUUGUGAACAGUGUAACUUUUACAUAUUUGUAUGACUUCAUUGUACAGCUGCCCUCCUCUAACAUAUUAUAUAUGUGCCAAUUCUUUUACUCCAGGGAUGUAAAUGCAGUACCACAUGUUGAUAAACACACUGUACCAUUUAAACCACUGUCUGCACCGUCACUCUUCAAAAAUGAGACCUGCACAGCACUCUGCAAUUCAAUGCAAUGAGAAAGGCCAUGAAUUUACCCACAGAGGCAGCAUGGCUGAUAAAGCAGCUCCUGUCUCCUGUGCUCAGAGAUGUGCUGCUGUGAUGGGAAUUUCUGUUCCAGCACACUUCCACACCGAGAGAAAUAGAGGAAAAAGAAAAGAAAAAGGAGUCAACAGCCAGAAGGCCUCAUUUAAAUGCCAGUGUGGCAGCCAAAGAGGUAAGGGAAUGAAACACCGACAGAGGGAGGAGGGGAAGG